rnacentral:rRNA from 1 species
CUACUGGAAACGGUGGCUAAUACCGCAUAACGUCGCAAGACCAAAGAGGGGGACCUUCGGGCCUCUUGCCAUCAGAUGUGCCCAGAUGGGAUUAGCUUGUUGGUGAGGUAACGGCUCACCAAGGCGACGAUCCCUAGCUGGUCUGAGAGGAUGACCAGCCACACUGGAACUGAGACACGGUCCAGACUCCUACGGGAGGCAGCAGUGGGGAAUAUUGCACAAUGGGCGCAAGCCUGAUGCAGCCAUGCCGCGUGUAUGAAGAAGGCCUUCGGGUUGUAAAGUACUUUCAGCGGGGAGGAAGGUGUUGUGGUUAAUAACCGCAGCAAUUGACGUUACCCGCAGAAGAAGCACCGGCUAACUCCGUGCCAGCAGCCGCGGUAAUACGGAGGGUGCAAGCGUUAAUCGGAAUUACUGGGCGUAAAGCGCACGCAGGCGGUCUGUCAAGUCGGAUGUGAAAUCCCCGGGCUCAACCUGGGAACUGCAUUCGAAACUGGCAGGCUUGAGUCUUGUAGAGGGGGGUAGAA